rnacentral:rRNA from 1 species
CCGCCGCCUCCCCGCAAAGCUCUCGCUCCCGUCGCCAGAGCCCCGGCGCCGGCGCGAGGCGGCGGUGACGCGACGGAGGAGCCGGGCCAGGCGCCCGACGACUGGGCCGCGCUUGCGGGGCGGCUGGCGCUGGGCGCGCUCCUGGGCUCCGCCGCCCUGCUCGGCUGCCGUGGCGCGGCACUCGUGGCGGCCGAGGACUCCAUCAGGGUGUCCGGGUUCAGGCUGCGGGUGGCGGUGUCACUACGAAGCCUCGGCUGGCCCGACGAGGCUGUCGUGUUCACACUUGCCACAUUGCCGGUGCUCGAGCUGCGCGGAGCAAUUCCGGCCGGGUAUUGGAUGCGCCUUCACCCCGUCCAGCUGACCGUCCUGGCAGUUUGUGGGAACAUGGUGCCUGUGCCAUUCAUCAUCCUCUACCUAAAGAAAUCGCAAAGAAGCGCUUGGGCAACCCAGAUAAUGGACCUCCUCUUCGAACUGAUGGGAUGGAAGGUUGCACCCGUCGAGGAGUUCCAGUGGCUCGGGCUGAUGCUGUUCGCCGCCGUCCCAUUCCCAUGCACCGGAGCAUGGACCGGCGCCAUCACCUCGUCCGUCUUUGGCAUGCCGUUCUGGCCAGGCUUGUCUGCGAAUUUCGUGGGGUGCCCUUGA